UGACACAUAAUUUAUCACAGGAACAGAGUCAUUCCUUUUAACAUGCACCACUUCACAGACUCUGACAGUCAGUUCCUGAGAAAAGACAUAAAGAAGACUGAAGCACGAUGGUUGAAUCAAGAUGGAUUAAAAUGUCUUUAUUUCUGAUGCUGCUGCUUCACUUUACAGCAGUGACUGAACAACUCUACCCCCGUAUUGUUGUCAGAGUUGGAGAUGAAGUCACUUUGCCUUGUGACAAUGUGAGAGAUUAUCAGGACAAAUGUCAGCGUACUUCGUGGCUCUUUGUUGGUUCAGGAAACACAACGUCAAAACUUCUGAUUGACCGUGGACAGAUUGGUGAAAACAGCAACUCUAAAUCAGACAGACUGAGUGUUACAGCGAACUAUUCUCUGGUUAUAAAGGUCACAGCCGAGGAUGUUGGUCAAUACACCUGCAGACAGUUCAAUGAUACAGGACAUCAACAAGGUCCAGACUCUCACGUUGAUCUGUCUGUUAUUACCAUGACUGAACAUAAGGACUCUGAUAAGGUGACAUUAGGCUGCUCUGUGUUGACUGACAGAGGGUGUGAACACAGAGUGAAGUGGCUGAAUCAGGGUGAAGAUCUGGAUAAAGAUAAUGAAGACAGGGACACAUCAGAGCCUAAGUGCUCAGUUACUGUGACAUUUCCUACUUCUGAUCUUAACCUGAAGUCAGAGCAUCGUGAGUUGUUUAAGUGUGAAGUGACUGAUCUUUUUGUUCAACCAGAGCAGCAGUUUACCUUCAGCCUUCAGUCCUCAGCUCGUACAGAUUGGUCUGUUCUGAACUACAUAAUGUUGGUUAUGCGUGUGGCUGAACUCCUCCUAAUUACUGUGAUUACUGUUCUUCUCAUCAGAGCUCGAGGAAACCAGAGACCACCUGAUGACAGCACUGUGCAUCAUGAUGGAGAUGGACAUGACGGCACAGUGAACUAUGAAAACGUUGGAGAGCCUUCUGCUUCUGUCAGACUCGACAACUUCCACACCAACAUCAACUCACCAGAGAAAUGAGUCCACUGCUGUUAAACAUUUUCCAGGGAACCAGAGACCACCUGAUGACAUCACUGUGAGUUGAAAAGUGAAGUGUAAAAUUAAAAAUAUAUACGAACGAUUGGACACAUAAGUCAGUGUAAAUGCUGGUGGGAACUGUUGUGUGAGGUCCACUUAAACAUUUCUUGACAGCAUUAUUUUACACAAAAACAUGAAUCAUAAUUUUAUUUUGAGGCUCUACAUGAGGUAUUGCUGAAUGUAUUGAUCAAGCAGAAUCCCCCAUGGCUUUCAAAUAAAGCCAACACAGAAGUAACAUAAACUACAGUUCCUUGAGCUGCCACUUGAAGCUGGCUUCAGAAGUGAUCAGGCCCCAUAUUUAAAAGUUUACAGCAGAAAUAAACAUGUUUACAACCUGGAGCACAGGUGCCUUGAGCUCCCAGUCCAUCAGGAGUUAGCAGCAACUAGUGGUUAGCUAAUAGCAACAAGUAAAGCUAAUGUAUCCAUCAGUAAACUCUGUAUAUCCCUGAGAGCGGAGGUAGAGAAGCUGCACAACAACACAACUGAAAACUAAAAAAGGACUUUCUGCAUCCAAAAUCUUGAAGGGUUACUCCUGAGCAGAGCAGUGGGAUAAGUUAGACAGACUAAUCACAUCCCUGUAAUUCAUGGGCAUAAUCAAAAAAGCACAAUAGGUCCCCUUUAAGAAGCUUGCUGUACUGUAUUUAAGAAUGUCUUUUCUUGCAUUUUGAAAAUGUUUCCUUUCUUUAGCCAGUUCAAUUCUAACAACUUUCUUAGGAUGACAUCCAUUUGAACUUAGGCCUGCUGGUUUUCUGUUUGUCUUUUAAUGUCAUAAGUAGCCUAGCCUAGCACAACCUCCCUUGUAUCACUGUGUGCAGAAGAACUCAUUUUAAUUAACUUUGAUAUAGAAUUGCUGUUUUCCAAUGUCCAAUAUGUUUUUGUAAUUUUAGUGGAGUAGGUUUAAAUGAGCUUUGAUUCUUAAAGUCUGUAACAGUGUCGUCUUCAUAUACACACUGUAAUCAAUUGAUGUGUUGUGUCUUUUAUAGUAAAAUAUAUCUGAGCUUUGAUUAGUAACAGUGUUGUGUUGAUUAUAACUGAUUGUAUGAUCUGCUGAAAAAAAACAUGUAUGUAUGUAUGUAUGUUAUAAUUAAUUGAUGUGUCAUGUAUUUUACAAUAAAAGGUGGAUAUCCAUAUUGAUUUUGGAGAGACCCUCUAUUAGUAUUAUUUUUUCUGAAUUGCCUUUUAUUCACAAAACGUAUUUUUCAAAAAAGAAAAUUGUCUCCAAGAACGGUUAUGCUGUUGUAGAAAACAAAUGGUUUUUUGAAAU
rnacentral:lncRNA from 15 species